UCCUAAAUAGUUUAGUGGUAAAACGUUGGUCUUUCAAACCAAUGACCGGGGUUCGAUUCCCUGUUUAGGAA